GCCUUCAUGGUGUAGUGGUCAGCACGCUUGGCGCAUAUUCGAGAGGUCCGUGGUUCGAGUCCUGGCAAGGGCA
rnacentral:tRNA from 1 species